rnacentral:rRNA from 1 species
UACGUAGGGGGCAAGCGUUGUCCGGAUUUAUUGGGCGUAAAGAGCGUGUAGGCGGCCAUGCAGGUCGUUGUGAAAACUCGAGGCUCAACCUCGAGACGCCGAUGGAAACCAUGUGGCUAGAGUCCGGAAGAGGAGAGUGGAAUUCCUGGUGUAGCGGUGAAAUGCGCAGAUAUCAGGAGGAACACCGGUGGCGAAGGCGGUUCUCUGGGAAUGAUCCUGACGCUGAGGAGCGAAAGUGUGGGGAGCGAACAGG